CUCUAAAAUUUUCAUCUCUUGAUCUUGUGGAGAUUAAGAAGUGUUCUCUGCUUGUAUAUUUUGCUAGAGACGGCUUGCUGGAUAUUAUAAUCUCAAGCCUUUACCAGAUCCAGGUUCUUUUCUUCUUUUGCCUCUCCAUAACUACUUCUCCACUCCUAUUUCACCACCUUAGCCAGGGAUAUACUUGCGGUCCCCUGUUUUGGCUGCUUGUCCAUUAUCUCUUGUUGCUUGUCUGCUGCAUGCUUCCUUGCUGGAUAUUUGACAUCUGUUGCCUCCAGAGCCUUGCCACUUGUACUGAAAAUUCCUUAACUUCUCUCCUCUUCACAUACACAUGAGUCCUAACAGUUAAUCAUUGUUGGGAGAAAGAAACAAAAGAGAAGUCAAUGCACCUUUUACAGGAUACAUGGCAAGAUUAAAAGACAUGACUCACCAACUAUCUUAUUGUUCAUAACAUUAUGAUCUAGCCACACAGUCAGAAAAUUUAAGUUUCGGCUAGUGACUUGGAGAAAGUAUAAAGAAGGUUAAGGGCACAAACCACUAGAUCAUUGCUUCACGGACUUGGGGCUUCAUCAUGUCACCAUGUCAAAAAAUGCAAUGGCAGGGCAGCAAGUUAGGAACUGAGAUUGAGCAUUUUCAAUAUUGCUUCUUCGGUUACAUACAGGCGGCUGAACGAUGUUACAAAAUUGACUAAAUGCACUGCAGAGUGUUGUGGCUGCAAGGUCUUGCUAAAUGAUGAAAGUCAUGCUACAAAAGAAAACUUCACCUUUUCAAUUAGUGUGCACAAAGCCGGGAGAGUGUGAAAAGAAAGUGAGAGAAGGGUGUAUAAGAACUCGGGGUUCAAGUUUGGGUUUGCGAAUGUAAAUGACUUGUACAAUUAUUCUCUGUUUUAGUGAUUGGGCUCAAAUUCCGUGGAUGUAGGCAUGAAUUUGCCGAACCACGUAAUUUUGGUGUUCCUUUUUCU